GAUGAACGCUGACAGAAUGCUUAACACAUGCAAGUCAACUGUGGCGGACGGGUGAGUAACGCGUAAAGAACUUGCCUCACAGAUAGGGACAACAUUUGGAAACGAAUGCUAAUACCUGAUACUGUGAGAGGGCUUUGCGUCCCAUUAGCUAGUUGGAGAGGUAACGGCUCACCAAGGCGAUGAUGGGGAGCCGGCCUGAGAGGGUGAUCGGCCACAAGGGGACUGAGAGACGGUCCUUACUCCGACGGGAGGCAGGAGUGGGGAAUAGUGGACAAUGGACCAAAGUCGGAGGAAGCAAUUCUGUGUGAACGAUGAAGUUUUCGGAAGGUAAAGUGCUUUCAGUUGGGAAGCGGUACCAGCAGAAGAAGUGACGGCUAAAUACGUGCCAGCAGCCGCGGUAAUUC
rnacentral:rRNA from 1 species